ACCAUUCAUUCCUGCAGCCUGGCCAGGUCCCUCUGAACAGAGGCUCUGCUCACCUCAGCACCUGCUGCAGCCCCCUCGGAUUCAUGUCAUCUGCAGACAAGGUGAGGGUGCAAUUCCUCUUCUCCACCCAGGCUGUACAGCCCACCCCUGUGUUACUGCUCUGCUAUUCUGUAGUGUUACGUGAAUUAACUUCUCCUUCACCAUUUCCUGUUAGAAUAGUUCAUGGGAAUGCUGCUCUGCUCAUCUAACAUUACAAUAAACAGCACUGUGGAAGAGAGAAACUCCUAAAAAAAUUCCUUGGCCAAAUCCUUAUCUACUGCAAAUUCCUUGCAUUUCUGAUCAGCUUAUACAGAAGUGAGAUCCAGGCUUUUUAUUCAAAAACCAAAGUGCCAGUAAUGUAUUUAAAAAUCAGCAGGCUGUUCAUUAUAACCGGUUCUUGGUGCUGCAUGUAUUAGUUCACUGCUGGCAUAAACAUCUCCUUGGAUGAGCACAAGGAAUCAAGGAAUUGGCUACUUCUGUCUCACUGCUGCGUUAAGACAUGCAAACAAAAACAUGCUGAGUGUUUCUACGCUUAGUUACAUGUACUUUUGAGGAAAGAAUGACUAUUAUUUGAAUGCACUUAUUACCAGUUGAGCCUUCCUAAUCUCUAGAUAUCUCUUGGGCUUAGAAAAAUACGCAUUUUUUGCAGGAAAAUAUUUUUUAUAAUCCUUAAAUAAAUUUCUUGCACAAGAGUGUAGUUGUAAUCUAGAAAAUACUCACAAUGGGAGUGAAGUUAGGAAAACACUACCACCCAUUAAACCCCCACCCUCCUAUGGUCCUUGAACAUUAGCCAAGGUUUCAUUGUAGCCUCCCUUAAUUUGAUCCCAGGAGCUAAUACCAUUGACUUGAGUUCACUUUUCAUGAUAGGAACACUCAAUAUAGGAGACUUGCCUUGGAAGAAUGACUCAUAGACAAACAACAGUGCCCCUUCCAUGACAUCUAUGAUGGAUCAUUCAAAGUUCACAACAAACUGUUUCACAAAGAGGAGGCUGCUUCAAGUCAAAUUGUGAGACAGCUGUUAAACAAAUCUACUCCAUGGAAAUUUAGUCAACCUUACUACUCCUAAGUGGACCAGGAAAUCAGAAGCAUCACAUGUGAGAGAGAGAGAGACCCUGUUGAUACCAGACCCAGUUUCACAUCUUCCUCUGGAGACAGAAAGGCAUUUGAACGAGGUCCUCUCCAUGCAAUUUGGACACCAAAAGGCUAUUGUUCCAGACACCAAAAUCUUAGAGAAAGCGUUUUGUGCCGAAUUUCACACAAUUUCAGGGUUCAGCACACUCAAAGACUACAUCACCUCUAGAGGAACUGCUACAACAAGCAUGGGUGCUUGGAAUCUCACACCUAUGACUUGCAAGGGCAUGAACUGUGAAGCUUUCUUGAAGUGAAGUUGUCAUAGGACUUAUUUUGAAGACCAAAAUCCUUAGAAGAACACAACCAAAUCAUUUGCCUUCAUGAAAAAUAACAGCUCAUCCCAUUACACUUCAUGGGAGCUAGACUGCAGAAGAACAGGAGCUUAGUAAUCAUAUUUGUCACUGGAAAAAAUGAUGAACCCUGUCAUUCUCAGGAAGAAUAUGAGGCAACCUCAGUGAAAUCAAAAGGAAGAUUUUUGCUUGUCUUUAUUUCCCAAGGGUAGUAAUGUAUCUGUCUACUGGAAGUGUAAUGAAAUCUCUUUUAUGACAUAUGUGGAGUGCUGGUUUUAAAAAUUCUAGUAUAGUAAAGCAGUGCAUUAUUUUUGGAUCUUAUAAUUUUUUUUUUAAUAAGGAGAAUUUCACUUUCUUAAAACUGAAGUGGCAACAUUAGGGUUGGUCUGGAUACAAACCAACUACUGCUACAAUCUCACUCUUCCCACACUAACCAUUUUGAAGGGAAAAAAAUUAGUUUUUCACUGUGUGGAGCACAUCCACACCAUCUAAAGGAUCCUUAAGAUAAGGAAAAAAACACAUUCUGGAGCUCUGAAUUCAGAGACCUUGAAGAGGAUGAAGCAAACCUUCUGACUCAUUUUGGACAGAUAUUAUCUCAGUGUAAACCAGUGAAUAAUCUAUUCAGCCCUUGCAGGGCUCAGGAUUACCGAGUUAAGAAAAUUAUGAAAAGGUUCCCCUGCCUCACAGGAACACCAUGAGGCACUGUAAGGCACUGUCUGCAAAAUAUUUUAGCUCCUUGAUAAAAAAGUGCUGCAGAAUUGCAAGAUAUUGUAAUUUUGAUCACACUAAUAAUUAUUUGAGCACAAGGAGCUACCACUUGACAAUUCCUUCAUCCAAACAGCAGCACUGAAUAAUUGCUGCUGCUGUGAGAAACAGCAGGUAGCACUGAGCAGAAACCCAUUUGCACAGGAGUGCUGCCAAGAAACUGCCAAAGGGACUUUGAGAAAGAGCUUUCCAUACACUGAAAUCAUGUGCUGCAGCACACCAAAGAAGUUUCUCUUACUCAGUCCAUCAGGUUGGAUAAUACCAUCCAAAAUGAGAGGACAGAUAAAAACCAGUUUAAGCAGUGCCUCAGAGAAUACCAGGGAUUGUGCCAGCCUUUCAAGAAAUGUGUGGCAGGCCUACUGCUUCUGGUUGUGGAAAAGAGCUUUGCAGGUAGCCUCUAA